rnacentral:rRNA from 1 species
AUUGAACGCUGGCGGCAUGCUUUACACAUGCAAGUCGAACGGUAACAGGGAGCUUGCUCCGCUGACGAGUGGCGAACGGGUGAGUAAUGCGUCGGAACGUGCCGAGUAGUGGGGGAUAACGCAGCGAAAGUUGUGCUAAUACCGCAUACGUACUGAGGUAGAAAGUGGGGGACCUUCGGGCCUCACGCUAUUCGAGCGGCCGACGUCUGAUUAGCUAGUAGGUGAGGUAAAGGCUCACCUAGGCGACGAUCAGUAGCGGGUCUGAGAGGAUGAUCCGCCACACUGGGACUGGGACACGGCCCAGACUCCUACGGGAGGCAGCAGUGGGGAAUUUUGGACAAUGGGCGAAAGCCUGAUCCAGCCAUGCCGCGUGCGGGAAGAAGGCCUUCGGGUUGUAAACCGCUUUUGUCAGGGAAGAAAAGGUUCUGGUUAAUACCUGGGACUCAUGACGGUACCUGAAGAAUAAGCACCGGCUAACUACGUGCCAGCCGCCGCGGUAACAC